UACGUAGGGGGCGAGUGUUACUCGGAAUUACUGGGCGUAAAGAGUGCGUAGGCGGUUUGGUAAGUCGAUAAUGAAAUCCCAGGGCUCAACCCUGGAAUGGUUGUCGAUACUGCUUUACUGGAGCGUAGAAGAGGGAAGUGGAAUUCUUGGUGUAGAGGUGAAAUUCAUAGAUAUCAAGAGGAAUAUCGAUGGCGAAGGCAGCUUCCUGGUAUACAGCUGACGCUGAUGAACGAAAGCGUGGGGAGCAAACAGG
rnacentral:rRNA from 1 species